UACAGAGACUGCAAGCGUUAUUCGGAUUCACUGGGCGUAAAGGGUGCGCAGGCGGCCGUGUGUGUCAGGUGUGAAAGCCCGGAGCUUAACUCCGGAAUUGCGCCUGAAACUACAUGGCUAGAGCAUUGGAGAGGGUAGCGGAAUUCACGGUGUAGCAGUGAAAUGCGUAGAUAUCGUGAGGAACACCGGUGGCGAAGGCGGCAUCCUGGACCAACACUGACACUGAGGAGCGAAAGCCAGGGGAGCAAACGGG
rnacentral:rRNA from 1 species